UACGUAGGGUGCAAGCGUUAAUCGGCAUUACUGGGCGUAAAGCGUGCACCGGCGGUUCCAUAAGACAGAUGUGAAAUCCCCGGGCUCAACCUGGGAACUGCAUUUGUGACUGUGGGGCUAGAGUACGGUAGAGGGGGAUGGAAUUCCGCGUGUAGCAGUGAAAUGCGUAGAUAUGCGGAGGAACACCAAUGGCGAAGGCAAUCCACUGGACCUGUACUGACGCUCAUGCACGAAAGCGUGGGGAGCAAAUAGG
rnacentral:rRNA from 1 species